rnacentral:rRNA from 1 species
GAUGAACGCUAGCUACAGGCUUAACACAUGCAAGUCGAGGGACCGGCGCCCGGGUGAUUAACACGUAUCCAACCUUCCCUUUACUCGGGGAUAGCCUUUCGACAGAAAGAUUAAUACCCCAUCUAACGGAUGGUGAUGCGUUCCAUUAGGUUGUUGGUGAGGUAACGGCCCACCAAGCCUUCGAUGGAUAGGGGUUCUGAGAGGAAGGCCCCCCGUCGGGGAAGUGAGAUACGGUCAAAAGUCAGACGGGAGGAAGCAGGGAGGGAUAUUGGGCAAUGGGCGUUAGCCUGAACAAGCCAAGUAGCAUGAAGAAUGAAGGCUUAGGGGUCGUAACCUUCUGUUAUAUAAGAACAUGUAUGAUAUGAAUAAGGAUAGGCUAACUCCGUGCCAGCAGCCGCGGUAAUUC